ensembl:lncRNA
GGAUGUGACAUACAGCUCUGUGUUUACUAUGACUCAACAAACCACACAAAGGACUGAAAGAGGCGCAGAAGAUGUUACAUACAGCACUUUGGCUGACUACCAAGCUCAAGGCACCUAAUUAUUGGAUGGUUUAAAAUGAGUUAUAAUAAUUUGUCAGUUUGUGCUUUGUUUGCUAACUACAGCCCAGUUGACGUGUUUCAGGCAUCAGAUUUAUUUUAUUUUUUUACCAUAUUUCUCAGUUCAGGUCACAUUCCCUGAUCAGAGACUAAUAACUAGGUAACUACAGAACAAACGUCUGUGCAAACAUGCAGGAAACCAGUUAUUUAUUCUACUCGGGAUGAUCUGUGCUUCCCUCACACUGAGGCAUGCAGCAGCGCUUGUAUGAAAAUAAUAAUAAUAAAUUUGCCCAGAGGCAAGUCAAAUAUCUGGGUUAUCUCAAAAUUUCAAGUCACUGGCUCAAACUUCUGAGCAAGCCAAAUUUUUGAGACAGCCUGGAAAUGUAACUUAUGGAUAACAUUUUUUUUUACUGGUGGAAACAAGCUUCUAUAGGAAUUGGACACAAAAACUGAGAUUUUAAAAGCUCAAUAGUAACUCAGUGGUUAGUAGCCAUACUCAGGAAAUUAUUUUUUUUUUUAAAUCUAUGUAUUUCUCUUUUGUAUCUGACACAGCACUUACCAACCAUUUACUAGUGCUAUUGUAAUCAUAGAUAGGCUGAAUUAGUGAUAUAUAUAUGUCAUAUAUAUUUUUAUAUAUUAUAUACAAGUGCUUUUCAGAAGCUUUUUAUUUUUUUGUACAGUAUAGGUCAAUUGAUUUUUUCUUUACUUUUAAGUGAUACUGUUACAAUCUAAAAAUAAAAUAUAUUUCAUUUCCCAUAAUUUGUUUGUUUUAGAUGUAGUCCAUAAUAUUAGGACGAUACAAUUGCAUGUUAAUUAUUGUCAUCAUUACAGUAUGUCAUCAGCAUUCAUUAACUUCUGUGUUCAUUGUAGCUUCAUCUUUAUUGUAUUACAAAAUGUGCC